UACGAAGGGGGCUAGCGUUGUUCGGAAUUACUGGGCGUAAAGCGCACGUAGGCGGAUAUUUAAGUCAGGGGUGAAAUCCCGGGGCUCAACCCCGGAACUGCCUUUGAUACUGGGUAUCUAGAGUCCGGAAGAGGUGAGUGGAAUUCCGAGUGUAGAGGUGAAAUUCGUAGAUAUUCGGAAGAACACCAGUGGCGAAGGCGACUUACUGGACGACUGUUGACGCUGAGGUGCGAAAGCGUGGGGAGCAAACAGG
rnacentral:rRNA from 1 species